UAACGCGUAGGUAACCUGCCGUUGUAGCGGGGGAGUAACUAUUGGAAACGAUAGCUAAUACCGCAUAACAAUGGAUGACCCAUGUCAUUUAUUUGAAAGGGGCAAAUGCUCCACUACAAGAUGGACCUGCGUUGUAUUAGCUAGUAGGUGAGGUAACGGCUCACCUAGGCGACGAUACAUAGCCGACCUGAGAGGGUGAUCGGCCACACUGGGACUGAGACACGGCCCAG
rnacentral:rRNA from 1 species